ACUGAUUCUCCACAGGUUUGGAAGCAACAUCAUAUUCUCUAAUGGGCUGAGAGAUCCUUAUAGUAUUGGCGGGUAACUAGAUAACCAAGCAAUUACCACCACACAAACUUUUUAGGUUUACUUGAUCGACUAUAUAACAGCUUUGAUUUCUGAUUCCAGGGUAUUGGACAACAUAUCAAACACUAUUGUUGCAGUCUUUACAGUUAAUGGAUCUCAUUGCUUGGAUAUACUCUUUGCAAAGGACACUGAUCCAGAGUGGUUAGUCAUGCAGCGAAAGGUUGAGGUUCGGAUCAUCAAACGAUGGAUCACUAAGUAUUAUGCUGAUCUUCUCGCCUACAAGAAAUGAAUUGAAGUCACAACAAAGAUGAAAGAAGCAAUAAACGUUGUGCAUAUUAAAACUGUUAACAUGUAUAAUGUUGUGGGCUUUAGGCCCAAACUAGAUUACUUAUAUAGCACACAUUCUUGUACUACACUCUUGCUUGUAUUGCACAUUUAUGCCUCCUAUAUAAAGGCACUCAUGUAUAUUCUAUUAUUUUGAGAAGUACAAUACACUUAUUCAGUAUUUCUAACA